rnacentral:rRNA from 1 species
CACGUAGGUGGCAAGCGUUGUCCGGAUUUAUUGGGUUUAAAGGGUGCGUAGGCGGCUUAUUAAGUCAGUGGUGAAAUACUCUAGCUCAACUAGAGGGGUGCCAUUGAUACUGAUGAGCUUGAGUACAGAUGAGGUAGGCGGAAUUGACGGUGUAGCGGUGAAAUGCUUAGAUAUCGUCAAGAACACCUAUAGCGAAGGCAGCUUACUAGGCUGUAACUGACGCUGAGGCACGAAAGUGUGGGGAUCAAACAGG